CUUUCCCUCUUUCUUUCGGCCUAACACAUGCAAGUCGAACGGCAGCACAGUAAGAGCUUGCUCUUACGGGUGGCGAGUGGCGGACGGGUGAGGAAUACAUCGGAAUCUACUUUUUCGUGGGGGAUAACGUAGGGAAACUUACGCUAAUACCGCAUACGACCUACGGGUGAAAGCAGGGGAUCUUCGGACCUUGCGCGAUUGAAUGAGCCGAUGUCGGAUUAGCUAGUUGGCGGGGUAAAGGCCCACCAAGGCGACGAUCCGUAGCUGGUCUGAGAGGAUGAUCAGCCACACUGGAACUGAGGCACGGUCCAGACUCUUACGGGAGGCAGCAGUGGGGAAUAUUGGACAAUGGGCGAAAGCCUGAUCUAGCCAUACCGCGUGGGUGCAGAAGGCCUUCGGGUUGUAAAGUCCUUUUGUUGGGAAAGAAAAGCAGCAGGUUAAUACCCCGCUGUUCUGACGGUACCCAAAGAAUAAGCACCGGCUAACUUCGUG
rnacentral:rRNA from 1 species